rnacentral:rRNA from 1 species
CGCCCGCCGGCGACCGGCGCACGGGUGAGUAACACGUAUGCAACCUGGCCGCCACAGGGGGAUAACCCGCGGAAACGCGGCCUAAUACCCCGUGACGCCACCGGAGGGCAUCCUCCGGUGGCCAAAGGAGCGAUCCGGUGGCGGAUGGGCAUGCGGCGCAUUAGCUAGACGGCGGGGUGACGGCCCACCGUGGCGACGAUGCGUAGGGGUCCUGAGAGGAAGGCCCCCCACACUGGGACUGAGACACGGCCCAGACUCCUACGGAAGGCAGCAG